AGAGAGAGGCAGGCAGACAGACACAGAGACAGAGAGAGAGAAUGAUGGGGUUCCAGGCUGACCUUUAAUGCCUGUGCUCAGGAUAUCAUCCUAACUGAGCCUAACAAAUUGUUGGAAUUACAGGCAUGUAUCAUGCCCAGCCCAAAUUAAUAUUAGAAUAUUAGUUUUACUCUACCUAAUACAUAGGAAAUAACUGAUUUUAUUAGGGUUUUGUAACUUUUUAAAACUACGUGCGGAGUUAAAAGGCUUGUUAUGACUCUGACAGAUAACAAGUCUAAAGCCCAGAGUCAUUCCAUGACCUGGCCACAUCCACAUCCAAGGCCACAUCCCAAGUCGACAGCAAAGAAAGACCUAGAGUCCUGGCUCCUCCUAGAGAUAUGAGUGGCUGGUGGUGGCCCUAGGGGUAAAGGGACAUUUCUUUUGACUUUCUAUCUAACACGCAUUUUCAGACAGGAGUGGCUAGUGGAAUGCAUACAUGAAAACUCCGUCUAAAAGAAAGGGAGUUAUGAGGACUUGAAGCUUCAGUCCAAGGGUCUGGGGAUGGAGCAGGUGGUAAGGGUUCUUGGUGAAGCCGGUAAUCUGUCAGGAGGAACUACAAACUUCCUCAUUUCCUCUUGCUCAGAACUCUCCCAACACAUUCAAAUAAGCCAACCAAAACAUGCGUGCCAAGAGGGAAUCAACCCAAUUACAUCAGAAUGAUCCAAAGUUUUAUUAUGUAUUCUAAUUGUUUAGAUAUCUUCCCUGUGUGCCGCAUAUCCGUAAUCUGUGUGGGAUCUCUUCCCCCGAAGACUGGGAACUGUUUUAGAUUUCAUUUAAUAGAGGACCAUUAACUAGAAGCCUACACAUAUCAACACCAUACUUAAUCUUUUAUAUUUUUCUUCUUUAUAUCUUAUUUACUAUGCUUAAUAUAAUAGAAGGUAAAUUGAUAUUUACACCUGAGAUAACCAUAGGCUUCCAUUAUGCCAAUAUAUUUGCAUCACUAGGAAUUAAGUUACCACAGGUCAAAAUUACCUACACACCCAUUGAUAUCACCGCUUCCAAGACUCAAAACCCCAACCUACUGACUUUUUAACAUAAAAUUUUGCAAAUCACAUCCCUAAACACAGAUGGUUCACGACAGUCUAGCGAACACUACUCACUUCAAUAACUACUUGUCUAUGCACACCUGAACAGAAAUAAGCCAGGGGUAAGAACACACCCGUCAGUAUUGCUGUCACACUCUUCAGGAGUCAGUCAGGACCGACACAUUUAACAUGGACUGACAGGUGUCACCCCGACCGUGGGCAGGGACUUGUGAGGACCGGCACGUGUCACGCUGACCGAGGGCAGGUGCCUGUACAGGGUGACACUGAAAUGCUCACCUCAUACUCAUCUGUACUGUGCUUUAAACCAGACAACUAAACACAGUGGGGAGCUAAGUUUGGAGAAUAUGGAAAUUUUCCUAAAGACCCCCAAAGUGGUGUAAAGUUAAGGGACAUCAGUAAAAGUGUAUCUGAUACUAAAAAGUUUAUUUUGUCAGUGACAGUCUGUGCAAUCGGAUGCUUUAGAAAUGUGAAAGCCUUGCUUUGCUAAGGAACUAUUGUAACUUGGCAGUUCAGCAGUGAGCCGCACGCCCCCUGGCUGCAGAGAUUGCCUGUCCUCUGAUGUCCCUCUCUCACCACCUCCCAUUGGCGGCAACUCUGGAGGGGCUGGGCUUAGCUAUGCACCUCCCUCCAAGGCUGAAAGGAUGAUGAUGUUCGGCAGGAGGCACAGCAGUCAGGUGAGGUAGGGAAGGAAGUGCAGACCUAAGGGCAGCAGCCAUCAGUGCCUGACCAUUCUUGGCAAGCCUGAGGGCACAGGGACUGUGAGGCGCUUGUGUCAUUAGGAUAGGGGAGCCCAGGAAUGGUUAACUCCAACUGUGGUUGCUGGAGCAGUUUCCACAGGACAGGCCACAGCACUCUUUCAAAAGGCAGAAGGAGGCUGAGUAGCAGUGAGGAGACCCAGUGAGGAGCCCAAGCCCGAAUGGCCAGUAAUGUGGCCACAUUAGCAAGUCGUCCACUAGGUCUGGACCCUAAGAUGCAAGGACUACACUGCAGUCCUGUGAGGGAGAACGCAGCCUGCAGAGGCAUGCGUUUGGAGGUCAAUGUGGGCUACCUGCCUAAAGUAAAAAGGGGCAGGGCUGAAGACAGCUCACUGGCCAAAGGAUCUGGACCUGAGUUUGAUCCUCAGAACCCUGGUCACUGUGGGGGGGUCAUGAGACUCCCUGAGGUACCUGGGCCAGCCAGCCUAGCCUGCUCAGAAAACCCCAGGUCCCAGUGAGUGACACUGCUGCAUAAAACAAGAACUAUGGCAGUGACGUAACGUACAGAAGACAAAUUCAGCUUCUCAGCCCUCAGAGUGGCGUCCAACUGCAGCUCCAGCCUGAACAAUUCCAGCUCUGACAUCCUUGAUACAACAGGGACACUGUGGCAUCGUAAUAACAAAAUUUUUACUCGGCCUCCCUGAUCUCUACCCACUUUCUAACCCUGACUUACCAGCCUUGUCUUUUGUUUUUCAAUUUGUAUGGUGGUAUUUUUCCUGCAUGUAUGUCUGUGUACCAUUUGCAUGUCAGGAAAUCCAGAAGAUAGUGUCAGAUCCCUAGAACUUUGAUGGAUGGCUGGUUAAAAGGCACCAGAUGGAUACUGGAAACCAAACCUUGUCUUCUAAAAAAGCAAUCAAUAUUCUUAAUCACUGAGCUCUCUCUCCAGCCCUAACUAAGCCUCAUUUCUUAAUGACGCAAGGAGCACUCAAUAAACUAAAAUAAUCACAGUUGUUUUCUGCUUCCUCAUAGAUCUUUGAUUUCAUCUGUACAGAGGGACACCUUCCUUGCGGGACCACCCACGAGUCUGCUGGGGAGCUCCAAGGCACAGUUGCCUUCCCUGUUGUCAAUUCCCCCUCCAGGGAGCUGAGGGGAUCUCUAGCACAUCAGUGGCCAGCCUCUCCGCUCAUUCAAACGGUAGUUUGGGCUGAAACUUUUGCAGUUACCUUGACCCCUCUUCCCUGUGCUGAUAUCCAAGGCCUUAGCCAGGUCUCAGCAGUAUCACUAUGAAAUCUAACACACAUCCCACCACUUCUCAUUGCUCUCCAACAUUCCCUUUCAAAUAUCAAUAUCAUCCAGACUCCUGACUAUCAUACCUUCCAUUCUGCUGGCCUCUUCGUAUGGCAGAAUGACCCUGCAACAUGAACCAGACACACAACUCUCCUAGUUAAAGACAGGUGUAAAUAUUACCUUCCACAAAAAAAUAAAAUCCAGGGGCUGGAGGAUGGCUCAGUGUGUAAAGUAUUUAUGUGAAAGCAUGAGUCUCUGUGUUAGGAUCACCUCUAUAAAAGCUAGGCACAGUGGCGUAGGCCUGGAGCCAUAGCACUGGAGGUGAGAGACGAGCAGAUUCCAGAGGCUCGCUGUCAAAUAA
rnacentral:sRNA from 1 species